AUGUAGACACUAUCGCGAAUACUGUUACCAUCCUAUUCCAUCCUGGAAGUAAAGAAAAAUGAUCUUCUUCUUCAUAACCUUGGUAGUUCUUGGUCAAAUGGUCAGUGCUGACCAACAGCAACAGUUGGCUUUGUCUUUAGCUUCUUCAGAUUUCUCUCAAAGACUUUACCAGAAGGUAGCUCUGGACCAGUCUAAUGUCGUCUACUCACCUUACAGCAUCCAUUCAUGUUUAACAAUGACGUCUCUUGGGGCAAGGGGAGACACUGCAACUGAAAUAAAGAACGUACUUGGCAUUACUUCCCUUGGUAACUCGGUGUUUCAAAUUUAUGAAGAGCUUAUUCAGCAGGUAA